UACAGAGGGUGCGAGCGUUGUCCGGAAUCACUGGGCGUAAAGGGCGCGUAGGUGGCUCGUUAAGCGUGUGGUGAAAGCCUGGGGCUCAACCCCAGGUCUGCCGUGCGAACUGGCGAGCUUGAGCAGAGUAGAGGCGGGUGGAAUUUCGGGUGUAGCGGUGGAAUGCGUAGAUAUCCGAAAGAACACCAGUGGCGAAGGCGGCUCACUGGCCCGGUACUGACGCUGAGGUGCGAAAGCGUGGGGAGCAAACAGG
rnacentral:rRNA from 1 species